rnacentral:rRNA from 1 species
CCUACGGGAGGCUGCAGUAGGGAAUCUUCCACAAUGGGCGAAAGCCUGAUGGAGCAACGCCGCGUGGGUGAAGAAGGUCCUCGGAUCGUAAAACCUUGUUGUUAGAGAAGAAAGUGCGUGAGAGUAACUGUUCACGUUUCGACGGUAUCUAACAAGAAAGGCACGGCUAACUACGUGCCAGCAGCCGCGGUAAUACGUAGGUGGCAAGCAUUAUCCGGAUUUAUUGGGAGUAAAGGGAACGCAGGCGGUCUUUUAAGUCUGAUGUGAAAGCCUUCGGCUUAACCGGAGUAGUGCAUUGGAAACUGGGAGUCUUGAGUGCAGAAGAGGAGAGUGGAACUCGAUGUGUAGCGGUGAAAUGCGUAGAUAUAUGGAAGAACACCAAUGGCGAAAGCAGCUCUCUGGUCUGUAACUGACGCUGAGGUUCGAAAGCGUGGGUAGCAAACAGGAUUAGAUACCCUUGUAGUC